AGCGAACGCUGGCGGCAGGCUUAACACAUGCAAGUCGAGCGGGCAUCCUUGUGGUGUCAGCGGCAGACGGGUGAGUAACGCGUGGGAACGUGCCCUUCGGUUCGGAAUAACUCAGGGAAACUUGAGCUAAUACCGGAUACGUGCGAGAGCAGAAAGGUUUAUCUGCCGAAGGAUCGGCCCGCGUCUGAUUAGCUAGUUGGUGAGGUUAUGGCUCACCAAGGCGACGAUCAGUAGCUGGUCUGAGAGGAUGAUCAGCCACACUGGGACUGAGACACGGCCCAGACUCCUACGGGAGGCAGCAGUGGGGAAUAUUGGAAAAUGGGGGCAACCCUGAUCCAGCCAGGCCGCGUGAGUGAUGACGGCCUUAGGGUUGUAAAGCUCUUUUAUCCGGGACGAUAAUGACGGUACCGGAGGAAUAAGCCCCGGCUAACUUCGUG
rnacentral:rRNA from 1 species